GGCGGCUCCGAGGGAGCGGGGCGGGGGCGCCCGGAGCAGCCCGGCCCCCACCGGCAGGGUCGUAGCCCCUGAGGCGGCCGCUCUUCGACCUCGUGCCUCCGUCUGUCUGCUCGCGUUGUGGAGGAGCCCACCUUCAGACAGGUAUUCAAGACGAUUCAGUAGUCUCAACGUGGAUCAGCUCAGAUCCCCGUAGUUAAGCAUGGUAUCGGGGGACACUGUCUUCGUACCUGGAGCGCUGGAAGAACCCGCACUGGGGCAGAGAAGAAAAAGGACAGUUUAGGAUUAAGUUCUUCCUUUGCACAGACAUACAGGCCAAAAAAAAAAAAGAAAAAAAAUCACAAUUCUGCUGUUUCUAGAUCUGAAAACUUCUUGGACUAACUCGAUCUGUAAAAUAACAGAAUUACCUGAGAAGUAUUCCAUUACCUUUCCAGCCUGCAGAGCUGGUGGGAGGAGCUGCAGUAGCUGCUGUGGAGCCAGCAGAGGGCUGAGCUACAAAACUUUGACAAGAAAAGACAGUUCACAUGAACAAAUGGACAAGCUGAUCCUGCUGGCGGUGAAGCAUCUAAGGUUGUCUAAAAUGGCCAUUAAGCCACCUCCUCCUUUUCCCCUUUCACUGUUCAUCACCAUAAAGAUUUUCAUUUCACCUUUGUGAAGUUUUUGUACUAUUCUUAUCAGCAAAUAAUUAAAGUACCUUUUGAAUAAGCAGAACACUUAACCAACUUCCCAUCCACUUACUCUGUUCUCUUCCAUAAGCAAUAUGAGUUGCUUUUAUUGGAUGCUGUUUCAGUGCAUUUAUGAAUAUUCCAAUUAUGUACACAGAUACUACACGUCUCAGAGAUAGGAUCAUCAAAAAAUUGUAGGAAAGAUAAUUUUGCCUGAAAGGUAGAGUUGUUUUUAACCUCAAAAUUGAGAUAACCAAUUUUGGUGUUUCUGCUCCUCCUCCUUUGGAACCUGACAGCCACCACUAAAUACCUAGACUUGAUGCAGCAUUCACAGCUCUGAGGAGGAGACAGUCCUCUUCCUGCACAUUACUGGUGAUUCAACUUAACACUACACUGAACUAGGAAAAACAGUACAAGUCUGCAAAAGACCAUGGCCUCCUCCCUAACUAAGGCAUGUGCUACAGAAAUCCAGAAGGAUCUAUCUGCAGGGCUUCCUCACAGCUGUCCCGUGGACCCCAGUGCAACCUCAGCAAGGCCAUAUGCCUCACUGCUUUCGGAUCCUCGGCUACAAGAGGGGUUUGGUUUGGUUCUAUUGUCAAUAAAGUAGGAUUAGAUGUACGUAACAGCAGCAAACAAAAGCUCUAGCAAAUGUAUCAGUUAACUUCCCCUUUCUUUGGGUAAAAUAAUUACUUAUCACCCUUAAUUCCAUCAAAGGGCACGGGCAUCCAAGUAAGUUGCCACAGGGCAAAGCAAGGGGACAGACACUGCACUCAUCAGCACUCCACAGUAACUGCCCACUGACCCUCUCCCUCUAUCCAUAGGAUAAGGCAGCUUCUCACUGAGGAGCAGGCUAUAAGGUAACAAACCCAUUUAUGGAAUCCCCACCCCCCCCGAAUUUCCAACUCCUAGAAGGGAAAAUACACUCCAGGCCAGCUUUAUGUUACUUCUGAGCAGCUUGUUUUUCAAAAACUAAAACCAAACCCUUGGUGUGAUUACAGUUCUGUAUAUAAUACCUGAACACAGCCACAGAAUCUGAAAGGGAACCAACAGCAAUAUCAGGGUAGGAAUUUUUAUCCAGGUCCAUGUUUCCAGCAAUGGAGUAACCAAAGAAAUUAGUGCCUGUUUUUUCACCGUCAAGAAUCUAAAGAGCAAACAGAUUGAGGGAAUUCAGGCAUUUAAAAGCUACAAAAGUGAAAUAAGUAAUAAGUGAACAUUGUCUUACGGCCAGGGGGAGGGGCGCGAGUGAGAGGAGAUACAAGGGGAUAGGACUGCAGAGUUCAGGUAAAUGACACUGAAACGCCAAGAUGAUUUGAUUCUCUUCCAGUAAGUUACUUUGCAAUCACAGUAGCUACCAGAAAUUACUCUUUUGCAUAGAAAUGUUGCCUAGCUUAUCUUUAUUUAUAGUAUUUAUGUAGUAUAGGCACUUGAAACUGAAAAAGUAUUCUAGAAAGUAUUCUAGCUAUUCUAGGAUAACAAGGUUCUAUUUCUCACCUUGCAAACUGAAUAGAGUGGUUCUCAAGAAAAAAAGAAAAAUGCAUAAACAUUUUUUAAUUAAAAAAGAAAGUGAAGUAUUAGUAAUGAAAGAGAAAAUGAAGAAAAUAAUUAUUUUCAAAUCCCCAAAUUUCUUUCAAAAAAACAAAACUUGCACAUCUAUAUGCCUUUUUCCUUCUCUAUAUGUUACUGGUGCCAAAGAACUGCCCCAGAAGAAAAAUGUCUACUAAAGUCAAGAAUUCCUAAUCUUUCUGUUGAGCAGUGUAAUCUUUGAAGGGUCCUGUGACUUUUCUGCAUACCCACCACCCCACCAAUAGUAAUGGAAAGGGAGAAGUCGGAUAGUCCUGUCAUUCCUUUAAUUUUGUGCAAGACUAAUUGUAUAUUGUAAAGGUUAUUUCAUUACCUGUGCUGGUUUUGUAUUUAUUCCAUUCUUGGAUCCAUGAUAAAUGUAGACUUUGCCAAAGCCAUCAUAUGGAGCCCCUACUGCAAUAUCUGUUGAAAAUAAGUUGCAACAUCUAAAAUCAUUCUUAUUCUUUCUGCAGCUUGCAGUCACGGUAAGGGUAAGAUGUUCCAAGUCUGGCAUUAGCAAAAAAGUCACAUACAGUUUUAUCAUAAUAGUUUUUCACUCACCUGGAUACCCGUCCUGAUUAACGUCCCCAACAUUUUCAACUGCGAGACCAAACAUGGAGUCAGUGGUUCCAUUUAAGCGAAUGGGUUUUACUCCUUCCCAUUUGCCUUGCUGGUUAAUGUAGAUGUACACAGCACCACCAAUAUCUCCACUUCUGUCAAAAUACUGCGGGGCUCCAACAACAAUGUCUUGCCAUCUUAAAAUUAAAGAGGAAAAAAAAAAAAAUAGUGCUUUUACAGAUGUACUGUGAAAAAUAAGUGAUGAGACUGUGGUCUGAGGGUCAGCUGGCCAAAGAGCUGCUGAACAAAAAGUACAUUAAACUGGUUGAGCAACAACAGCUCCACUCAUAGUACAAGCUGAUUAUAUUCCCUUUGUGACACCCAAGAUCUUCUAGGGUCUUGUUUGGGUAUGAGAUUUGUUUAUACUAACUGUUUAAAUUUAAAUAAACUUUUUUCUAUAAUUAGAAAUGUA